UACGUAGGGUGCGAGCGUUAAUCGGAAUUACUGGGUGUAAAGCGUGCGCAGGCGGUUUUGUAAGCCGGAUGUGAAAUCCCCGGGCUUAACCUGGGAAUGGCAUUUGGGACUGCAAGGCUUGAGUGCGGCAGAGGAGACUGGAAUUCCUGGUGUAGCAGUGAAAUGCGUAGAUAUCAGGAGGAACACCGAUGGCGAAGGCAGGUCUCUGGGCUGACACUGACGCUCAUGCACGAAAGCGUGGGGAGCAAACAGG
rnacentral:rRNA from 1 species